rnacentral:rRNA from 1 species
GACGUACGCUGGCGGCGUGCUUAACACAUGCAAGUCGAACGGAAAGGCCCUGCUUUUGUGGGGUGCUCGAGUGGCGAACGGGUGAGUAACACGUGAGUAACCUGCCCUUGACUUUGGGAUAACUUCAGGAAACUGGGGCUAAUACCGGAUAGGAGCUCCUGCUGCAUGGUGGGGGUUGGAAAGUUUCGGCGGUUGGGGAUGGACUCGCGGCUUAUCAGCUUGUUGGUGGGGUAGUGGCUUACCAAGGCUUUGACGGGUAGCCGGCCUGAGAGGGUGACCGGCCACAUUGGGACUGAGGUACGGCCCAGACUCCUACGGGAGGGAGGAGGGGGGAAUAUUGCACAAUGGGCGGAAGCCUGAUGCAGCAACGCCGGGUGCGGGAUGACGGCCUUCGGGGUGUAAACCGCUUUCGCCUGUGACGAAGCGUGAGUGAAGGUAAUGGGUAAAGAAGCACCGGCUAACUACGU